rnacentral:rRNA from 1 species
GUAGGUGGCAAGCGUUGUCCGGAAUUAUUGGGCGUAAAGCGCGCGCAGGCGGUUCUUUAAGUCUGAUGUGAAAGCCCACGGGCUCAACCGUGGAGGGUCAUUGGAAACUGGAGAACUUGAGUACAGAAGAGGAAAGCGGAAUUCCACGUGUAGCGGUGAAAUGCGUAGAGAUGUGGAGGAACACCAGUGGCGAAGGCGGCUUUCCGGUCUGUAACUGACGCUGAGGCGCGAAAGCGUGGGGAGCAAACAGGAUUAGAUACCCUGGUAGUCCACGCCGUAAACGAUGAGUGCUAAGUGUUAGGGGGUUUCCGCCCCUUAGUGCUGCAGCUAACGCAUUAAGCACUCCGCCUGGGGAGUACGGCCGCAAAGGCUG